GUCCCGGUUGGACACGGUGGGUUUUUUGGGGGGAUUUUUCGCCCAAAAAAAAUUUUUUUUUUUUAAAUUUUUCCUGUCUCUCUCUCUCUCGUGUGUGCCUUAUCUGACGCUUGCGAUUUGGAUUUUUUCGGUCCCUUUUCAUCCCUUGACACAAUCAAGUGAGCCAAUACCGUUUUCUCUCAAUGAAGAAGACAGAUCAGUAUUUAUCGGACCUGCACGCAGAGAAGAACAGAAGAAGAUUCUGUAAUAAUCUCGGGAACCAAAAGGAACAAAGUAAUCUCGUGGCAGGCGGGGGUUUAACAUUACCGAAGUAAACGUGGUACGAGCGGUAGCGGAUCUCGUCUCCCAUAACAAAGUGAUUGGACAUUCCACCGCAGGAAUUUGUUCCAGUUAGUUGUCUACCGAUAAAGAGAGAGAAAAAAUUGGUAAGUGAUCGAUUCUAUCGGUUUUCUCAUUAUUAUCGUCCAAACAAAUCUUGUUGGAAAUAAAAUGUUUCAAAAAAAAUUCAGCCGAAGCUUUCACUCGGCCCGAAAAAUCGCACCCGUUAAUGGCUAAAACAUACAGAGAAUGUGAGGAAUGUAGGCUCAUUAAGCAGGUUCCCAGGCGGUUGUCAUAACAUCAAAUACGACCUAAUUUGGCUCAGUUCAAGCCAGUUCGAUAAUGAUCGGACGAUUAGGACGGCCGGCACGUCCGCCAGACCUGUCACCCCUAGAUAAAAAAUGGCGAACCCCUUCCUUGACAAGGAUGUUAAAUAUCAACGGGAAAAUAAGUAGGUUUAAAGAAAAACCAAUUAGACCAUUGACGGAUGGCUCUGCGGAUGUAUUAAGGAGAAAAUUGGAAAUUCAAGGGUCGUUCGGGAGCAUAAUUAGUUCGGUUCUUUUUUUCCUAUUAAAACGCCAUUCAAAUACCCCAAUUGCAUACGAAAACCGUAAUGCCGGGGGUCACACGAUAAUGUUAUGCAUAAUCGCGUUCCAAGAACCGCCGUUUGAUAUGGAUCUAACUACUUGUCGGCAUUUUACUGUAUAUCUGUUCGUAGAAUUUUGUAAUUUCAGUUUUAUGCAAAGUACGGCUCACCGUCUGCAUAUUGUUUUUCGGAAAACGGAUUUUUAUGUGACUCCCACUGUGGAAUAUUAAUUUAAAAAAAAAAGGGUGUGGUAGCUUCGCUUUACAUUGGCCUCAUCAAAAAACUCUUUUAAACCGAUUUAAUGGGUGCUUCAAGUGCUGCAAUCCCUUGCUCGCCAUUUUGUUUAAUCAACAAAAUGGCCGACAACUGCGCAGGUUCCCCUUCCAUGGUCAACUUUGGAUUCAGUAUGUCAAUGCGCAGCUCCAUUUUUUACUUUUUCUGCUCGCCCUACACCCCUAAUGCUUAGGUCAAUUUUUUUUAGAAUUUUAAUUAGACCGCCUGCACAAACCAGCUCAUAUCUCAAAAACUAACAAUGUUUUUUUUGAAAUGUUUUAUUGAGGACACUUGAGUGCACACCAUUGUCUAGGUUUCAAGACUCUAGUUCCGUUAGUUUGAUUUAAAGAAGGCUUCAAAGUUAUCCCCAGUCAUUAAUUUAAUUUUUUAAAUUAAAAUUUUAUUUAAACCGCCGGCACAAAUCUGCUCAUAUCUCAAAAACUAACAACGUUUUUUUAAAAAUUCUUGAAGUGUCUUAUUGAGGACACUUGAGCGUACGCCACUGUUCAAAUUUUAAGUCUCUAAUUAAGCUAGUUUUAUUGGCAAAAGGUUUUAAAGUUUUCCCUAAUCAAUAAUUAAUUUUUUUUAUAUGACAACUUUAUUUAAACCGCCUACACAAACCUGCUCAUAUCUCAAAAGCUAACAAUGUUUUUUUGAAAAUUCUUGAAGUGUCUUAUUGAGAACACUUGAGCGCACGCCACUGCGCAGGUCUGAACACUCUAGCUUCGCUAGUUUUAUCGACAAAAGACUUCAAAGUAAUCCCUAGUUAUUACUUUUGACCUGUAAAUCUAUUUGAGACACAGAAAUCAUGGACUUUUAUAUUGACUUGA
rnacentral:lncRNA from 1 species